UACAGAGGGUGCGAGCGUUAAUCGGAAUUACUGGGCGUAAAGGGCGCGUAGGCGGUCAUGAACGUGUGUUGUGAAAGCCCCGAGCUUAACUUGGGAAGAGCAACGCAAACGAUGUGACUGGAGUAGAUGAGAGGGUGGCGGAAUUUCCGGUGUAGCGGUGAAAUGCGUAGAGAUCGGAAGGAACGUCGACGGCGAAGGCAGCCACCUGGCAUCAUACUGACGCUGAAGCGCGAAAGCGUGGGUAGCGAACAGG
rnacentral:rRNA from 1 species